CUUGGUCAUUUAGAGGAAGUAAAAGUCGUAACAAGGUCUCCGUAGGUGAACCUGCGGAGGGAUCAUUACAAGUGACCCCGGUCUAACCACCGGGAUGUUCAUAACCCUUUGUUGUCCGACUCUGUUGCCUCCGGGGCGACCCUGCCUUCGGGCGGGGGCUCCGGGUGGACACUUCAAACUCUUGCGUAACUUUGCAGUCUGAGUAAACUUAAUUAAUAAAUUAAAACUUUUAACAACGGAUCUCUUGGUUCUGGCAUCGAUGAAGAACGCAGCGAAAUGCGAUAAGUAAUGUGAAUUGCAGAAUUCGGUGAAUCAUCGAAUCUUUGAACGCACAUUGCGCCCCCUGGUAUUCCGGGGGGCAUGCCUGUUCGAGCGUCAUUUCACCACUCAAGCCUCGCUUGGUAUUGGGCAACGCGGUCCGCCGCGUGCCUCAAAUCGACCGGCUGGGUCUUCUGUCCCCUAAGCGUUGUGGAAACUAUUCGCUAAAGGGUGCUCGGGAGGCUACGCCGUAAAACAAACCCAUUUCUAAGGUUGACCUCGGAUCAGGUAGGGAUACCCGCUGAACUUAAGCAUAUCAAUAAGCGGAGG
rnacentral:rRNA from 1 species